CCUACGGGAGGCAGCAGUGGGGAAUAUUGCACAAUGGGGGAAACCCUGAUGCAGCGACGCCGCGUGAGUGAAGAAGUAUUUCGGUAUGUAAAGCUCUAUCAGCAGGGAAGAACAUGACGGUACCUGACUAAGAAGCCCCGGCUAACUACGUGCCAGCAGCCGCGGUAAUACGUAGGGGGCAAGCGUUAUCCGGAUUUACUGGGUGUACAGGGAGCGGAGACGGCAGCACAAGUCUGGAGUGAAAGGCCGGGGCUUAACCCCGGGACUGCUUUGGAAACUGUGCAGCUAGAGUGCAGGAGAGGUGAGUGGAAUUCCUAGUGUAGCGGUGAAAUGCGUAGAUAUUAGGAGGAACACCAGUGGCGAAGGCGGCUUACUGGACUGUAACUGACGUUGAGGCUCGAAAGCGUGGGGAGCAAACAGGAUUAGAUACCCUGGUAGUC
rnacentral:rRNA from 1 species